GACAGCAUGGUGUAGUGGUUUGAGCGUUGGACUAGGACUCUGGAGACCAAGGUUCAAAUUCUACUUCAGCCA